rnacentral:tRNA from 2 species
GGGCGUGUAGUUUAGUGGUAUAACAUCCGCUUUGCAUGCGGAAGGUCCCGGUUUCGAUCACCGGCGUGUCCA